CACUGUAUUAUGUCCACAGAAAAGGGAGGGUGCUCCCUCCGUCUUUAGAUGACUUUUAUGGCAGCAGCCCAACAGAUACUUUGGAUCAACCCACAAGUAAUUCUUUUGCACCUCUGUGGAAGAAAACAGUGUCCAGUCCUCAGUGAGAACCCAGCCAGCGAAACCAAAGCAAUUUUCAUGAAGUAAUUAGAGGACAAUUAAGUACCCGAUUAUGUGAUCGACUAACUCUAGUCCCUUGACUUCUUAUACUGACAACUCGCCUAUGUGAAGUACAGUGUCUGACAGAGGGAACUUCUGUUGGUGACACCAAAGCAGAAUACCCAGGAGCAAAACCCACUUCCCUGUAUCAAAUCGUCAUUAGCAAUUGUAGUGCUCCUGUCUCACUUUUUCUACAAUUAUGAUGAAACCUGAAUUCAGAAAAUUUGAGGUGACAUAGCGCAACCUGUCAAUUGCUUCCUAGAAAAUUUAAAGUAUAUUUUCAAAGCUAUCUAAGGGGAAAUAAGAGGAAAUGAAUCUGUAAAAGACAUAAACAAAAAUGCACUUAUGUUGUGAUCUGACUGAUACUUGUACGGCUAAACUUAAUCCCUACUCACAGGUGAGUUUCUGUUUGUGAGUACUGUUAGCCAGUCAAUGUUUGUUUCGUGCCUACUGUGUGCCAGGUAUUGGGCCAUGCUAGAAGACCCUAUUGAGCAAAGGAAGUCCCAUCUUUACCCUCAUAGAACUCACGACUGGAUGAGUAUUUAGUAAUUCCUGAUAAAAGUCUCCACACACAAACUCAGGCCCUCCUGUAGAGAGUCGUAAAUUUACCGGAGUUGUUCUUUAAUUAAAAGAAUACAAAAUAGUAUGUUUGCUGUCCAUUAGAAGAAAUGCUUUUUGAAACCCCAAAGAAAAAGCAAGAUGUCCAAAGUGACUGAGAUGAGGGCAUUGUAGACAUGUCUGGAGGAAAAGUUAGCUGGGUUCAGGGACGGGGUUGAUGUCUGAGGAUACAGUGUUCUCAGCUGGGUUCCAGGUCACAGAGAAGGCCAUUGUUUGUUCUUCCCAAACUGUUGCUUUUGUUCACCAACUUCCCCACCCCACCCGAGAGAGAGCAGACAACCGUUACAGUCCCGGUGUACUGUUGCUUUGUAAAGUACCCUUAUUUUUGUUAGCAUGUCUACCAUUUAGUGACCUUGAUAAAGAUAAUGAAGCAAUGAAAAUAACUCAAAGAAAGCAGAUUUAUGUGAAGUCUUUUUCUAAAGUGGAAGAAUGAACUCCUUCUCAUUCUACUCCAUGUUA